rnacentral:rRNA from 1 species
CGCUGGCGGCGUGCUUAACACAUGCAAGUCGAGCGGUAAGGCCUUUCGGGGUACACGAGCGGCGAACGGGUGAGUAACACGUGGGUGAUCUGCCCUGCACUCUGGGAUAAGCUUGGGAAACUGGGUCUAAUACCGGAUAUGACCGCAUGCCGCAUGGUGUGUGGUGGAAAGAUUUAUCGGUGCAGGAUGGGCCCGCGGCCUAUCAGCUUGUUGGUGGGGUAAUGGCCUACCAAGGCGACGACGGGUAGCCGACCUGAGAGGGUGACCGGCCACACUGGGACUGAGACACGGCCCAGACUCCUACGGGAGGCAGCAGUGGGGAAUAUUGCACAAUGGGCGGAAGCCUGAUGCAGCGACGCCGCGUGAGGGAUGAAGGCCUUCGGGUUGUAAACCUCUUUCAGCAGGGACGAAGCGUGAGUGACGGUACCUGCAGAAGAAGCACCGGCUAACUACGUGCCAGCAGCCGCGGUAAUACGUAGGGUGCGAGCGUUGUCCGGAAUUACUGGGCGUAAAGAGUUCGUAGGCGGUUUGUCGCGUCGUUUGUGAAAACCCGGGGCUCAACUUCGGGCUUGCAGGCGAUACGGGCAGACUUGAGUGUUUCAGGGGAGACUGGAAUUCCUGGUGUAGCGGUGAAAUGCGCAGAUAUCAGGAGGAACACCGGUGGCGAAGGCGGGUCUCUGGGAAACAACUGACGCUGAGGAACGAAAGCGUGGGUAGCAAACAGGAUUAGAUACCCUGGUAGUCCACGCCGUAAACGGUGGGCGCUAGGUGUGGGUUCCUUCCACGGGAUCUGUGCCGUA